rnacentral:misc_RNA from 1 species
UUUCCGUAGGUGAACCUGCGGAAGGAUCAUUACUGAGUGAGGGCCCCUCGGGGUCCAACCUCCCACCCGUGUUUAACGAACCUUGUUGCUUCGGCGGGCCCGCCUCGCGGCCGCCGGGGGGCAUCUGCCCCCGGGCCCGCGCCCGCCGAAGCCACCUGUGAACGCUGUCUGAAGUAUGCAGUCUGAGACAAUUAUUAAAUUAAUUAAAACUUUCAACAACGGAUCUCUUGGUUCCG